GUGAAUAUAGCUUAAUUGGUAGAGCUCUGGAUUGUGAUUUCAGUGGUUGUGGGUUCAAGUCCCAUUGUUCACC
rnacentral:tRNA from 1 species